rnacentral:rRNA from 1 species
UACGUAGGGGGCUAGCGUUGUCCGGAAUCACUGGGCGUAAAGCGCACGCAGGCGGAUUGAUAAGUCAGGGGUGAAAUCCCGGGGCUCAACCUCGGAAUUGCCUUUGAUACUGUCUGUCUUGAGUUCGGGAGAGGUUGGCGGAAUUCCUAGUGUAGAGGUGAAAUUCGUAGAUAUUAGGAAGAACACCAGUGGCGAAGGCGGCCAACUGGCCCGAUACUGACGCUCAUGUGCGAAAGCGUGGGGAGCAAACAGG